CUAGCAUGAAGUCAGACAAGUGAACCCGCAGAAUUUAA
rnacentral:rRNA from 1 species